rnacentral:lncRNA from 1 species
GAGAAAUACAUGGACUCACCAUGGGGAGAUACACGUUCCUGAGAUCUCACUUUGUAUCUGAUGUCUGCUUGACACUAAACUGUUGCUAUGCUGAUUCCACUCCAUUUGGCUGUUCAUUGCGAUGAAUAUAUGGGGGCUGUAUUUCCAAAUGUCCUGGGCACCCACAGCACUAAGAUCUGACCACCAGCUAGAUCCACCAGGCCUUGGAGUCCCUUGUAAAGCUAUGCUGAGAUGUUUGACAGAGAAUCUCAUCCUGACAAAACCCCAAGUCCCUGCAGAGUUACUACGGGGUGAGAAGAAACCUGAUGUGGAGGUGUUAAAGCAUCAUCGCUUUUGAAACUGCCUCUGGUGUGUGAGCUGAUGGGAGACCAAAAGCCUCUUCAACAUCUGACCAUUCCCUGCCUCUGCUUACUUGUCCACUUGAACCAGUUAUCUACGGGAGUCCUUAAUGUACCGGGAUGACCUAAAAAAGUGAUACUGCAAAACAAGAAAAUGGAAGUGUGCAACUCUCAAUGAGGACAGCUGGCAUCCCUCCUUUUCCCAUGAAAUGAGGCACACCUGGUAAAAGUGUUGCGCAUUCUGGGCCAGUGAUGAUCUGCAACCCCC